CACGUAGGGCGCGAGCGUUGUCCGGAAUUAUUGGGCGUAAAGAGCUCGUAGGCGGCCUGUUGCGUCCGCUGUGAAAGCCCGGGGCUUAACCCCGGGUCUGCAGUGGAUACGGGCAGGCUAGAGGUAGGUAGGGGAGAGUGGAAUUUCCGGUGUAGCGGUGAAAUGCGUAGAUAUCGGAAGGAACACCUGUGGCGAAAGCGGCUCACUGGACCAUUACUGACGCUGAGGCACGAAAGCUAGGGGAGCAAACAGG
rnacentral:rRNA from 1 species